UACGUAGGGCGCAAGCGUUGUCCGGAAUUAUUGGGCGUAAAGAGCUCGUAGGCGGCCUGUUGCGUCCGCUGUGAAAUCCCGGGGCUCAACCCCGGGCCUGCAGUGGAUACGGGCUGGCUGGAGGCAGGCAGGGGAGAACGGAAUUCCUGGUGUAGCGGUGAAAUGCGCAGAUAUCAGGAGGAACACCGGUGGCGAAGGCGGUUCUCUGGGCCUGUUCCGACGCUGAGGAGCGAAAGCGUGGGGAGCGAACAGG
rnacentral:rRNA from 1 species